rnacentral:rRNA from 1 species
GGCUAACAUGGUUACGCAUACCUGCAGUCGACCGGUAACGCAAGUACUUUGCUACUUUUCCGGCGAGCGGCGCACGGGUGAAUUGUGUGUGAGAAUCUGUCUGAUAGAGGGAUAUCUCUACUGAACACGGUCUCUUAUACCGCAUCGCGUCACAACACCAAAGAGGGAGACCUUCGGCCCUCUUCCCCUCAUAUGUCCCCAUAUGAUAUUAUCUAGUAUGUGGUGUAGCGUCUCCCCUACGACAAUAUCCCUAUCUGGUCUGAGAAGAUGCACCAGCCACACUGUGAAUCUGACAACACGGCCCACACUCCUACGAGACGCAGCAGUGGAGAAUAUUGCACUAUGCGCGCACCCCUGAUGCACCCAUGCCGCGUGUAUGAAAAGCGUCUUCGGGUUGUAAAGUACUUUCAGCGGAGAAGAGAAGUGAGAUGUUAAUACCCUCAGCGAUGUGACGUUACCCGCAAAAGAAGCACCGUGCUAACUCCGUCCCCAGCACCCGCGAUAUAUACAGAGGGUGCAAGCGUUAAUCAGAAUUACUGGGCGUAAAGCGCACGCACGCGCUCUGUCAAGUCGCAUAUGUGAAAUCCCCGGGCUCAACUGUGAGAACUGCAUUCGAAACUGGCAGGGCUAGACUCGUGGAGAGGGGGGUAGAAUUUCCAGUGUGUAGCGGUGAGAUAUGCGUAGAGAUCUGGAAGGAGAUACACGGUGUGCGAGAGGCGUGCCCCCUGGUGACAGAGAGACUGAAGGCGCAUGGUGUGGCGAGCAAGCGUGGGGAGCAAACAGGGGAAUAGAUUACCCUGGGAGGUGCCAGCGCCGGGAAGACGAUGGUCGACUUGGGAGAUGGUGGUGCCCGUGAGGCGGUGGGGGCUUCCGGAGCUAACGCGUUAAGUCGACCGCCUGGGGAGUACGGCCGCAAGGUUAAAACUCAAAUGAAUUGACGGGGGCCCGCACAAGCGGUGGAGCAUGUGGUUUAAUUCGAUGCAACGCGAAGAACCUUACCUACUCUUGACAUCCAGAGAACUUAGCAGAGAUGCUUUGGUGCCUUCGGGAACUCUGAGACAGGUGCUGCAUGGCUGUCGUCAGCUCGUGUUGUGAAAUGUUGGGUUAAGUCCCGCAACGAGCGCAACCCUUAUCCUUUGUUGCCAGCGGUUCGGCCGGGAACUCAAAGGAGACUGCCAGUGAUAAACUGGAGGAAGGUGGGGAUGACGUCAAGUCAUCAUGGCCCUUACGAGUAGGGCUACACACGUGCUACAAUGGCGCAUACAAAGAGAAGCGACCUCGCGAGAGCAAGCGGACCUCAUAAAGUGCGUCGUAGUCCGGAUUGGAGUCUGCAACUCGACUCCAUGAAGUCGGAAUCGCUAGUAAUCGUAGAUCAGAAUGCUACGGUGAAUACGUUCCCGGGCCUUGUACACACCGCCCGUCACACCAUGGGAGUGGGUUGCAAAAGAAGUAGGUAGCUUAACCUCGGGAGGGCGCUACCACCGAAGUGUCUAAUUAA